GGUUGUGGCUUAGUGGUAGAGUGCUCUCCUAGUACAUGCAAGGCCCUGGGUUUAAUCCUCAGCACCA
rnacentral:tRNA from 1 species